UUAGAUGCAAAAUGUUCCCUGGUAUAUUCUACAUCACCCACAGAAUACCGUAUCCUAGCAGUUGCAGUAUCCAAGUCUAGCUCUCUAUGAUAUGUUUCUUCAGAAUAUGGAAUAUGUGAGUCAUCAAAUCCUAGCUUGACAUCACCAAGGAGCUGGUAAACUUCAGUAGUAUUUCCAAACAACUUGACUGCUGCUUCAGUAGCUUCAGUAUAUUUUCCAUUGUCAACAAGAUUCCUGACCUCAGAUAAUGCCUCUGGAGCAUCAGGGUUUGUAUAGUCACUUGGAGUUCCUGUCCAAAGGGUGUCCUCAUUGAGCUGAAUAAUUUCAGAUGGGACGCCACCCCACACCAUGGCACCAAGGCGGCCGUUCCCGAUCGGAAUGGCGUCGGUCCAGCUCUUGGCAGGCCCAUUAAACGUAAUUUUUAGCCGGUUAGAAGCCUCAGAGUCCACCAUUGACAUUGAAUUGUUGUGGUUUUCCACCAAAACUGAGCCUCCAUCUUCCAUCGAUCGAUCGUUAC
rnacentral:misc_RNA from 1 species